GGAAAAUAUUAGUCGGAGGCAUUUUGGGAAUCCUGUUCUGGCUUAUAUUACUCCGUGGAAUUCAAAAGGCUAUGACCUGGCAAAGAAGUUCAGUUCUAAAAUUACGCAUUUGUCACCUGUUUGGUAUGAAUUGAAGAAUGAAGGAAGUAAAUUAGUUCUGCAUGGAAGACAUAAUGCUGAUAGAGGAUGGAUUUCAGACAUUCGAAUGAAAGGAAAUGCUCUGAUUUUACCUAGAAUUGUCCUGGAGGCGAUUCCGCUGGACUUGCUGAAG
rnacentral:misc_RNA from 1 species